rnacentral:rRNA from 1 species
UACGAAGGGGGCUAGCGUUGUUCGGAAUCACUGGGCGUAAAGCGUAUGUAGGCGGAUCGUUAAGUCGGGGGUGAAAUCCUGGAGCUCAACUCCAGAACUGCCUUCGAUACUGGAAAGCUCGAGUCCGGGAGAGGUGAGUGGAACUGCGAGUGUAGAGGUGAAAUUCGUAGAUAUUCGCAAGAACACCAGUGGCGAAGGCGGCUCACUGGCCCGGUACUGACGCUGAGGUGCGAAAGCGUGGGGAGCAAACAGG